rnacentral:rRNA from 1 species
UACGUAGGGUCCGAGCGUUGUCCGGAAUUAUUGGGCGUAAAGGGCUCGUAGGCGGUUUGUCGCGUCGGGAGUGAAAACUCAGGGCUCAACCCUGAGCGUGCUUCCGAUACGGGCAGACUAGAGGUAUUCAGGGGAGAACGGAAUUCCUGGUGUAGCGGUGGAAUGCGCAGAUAUCAGGAGGAACACCGGUGGCGAAGGCGGUUCUCUGGGAAUUACCUGACGCUGAGGAGCGAAAGCGUGGGGAGCGAACAGG